rnacentral:lncRNA from 1 species
AAAAAAAAAAAAAAAAAAAAAAAAAAAAAAAAAAAAAAAAAAAAAAAAAAAAAAAAAAAAAAAAAAAAAAAAAAAAAAAAAAAAAAAAAAAAAAAAAAAAAAAAAAAAAAAAAAAAAAAAAAAAAAAAAAAAAAAAAAAAAAAAAACAAACUUCAUAUAAGAACAAAAGAGUAGCAGCAGCAAUAACACAGACCCAAUCAUGAGACAGAGGAAUCUGCCACUCCCAACGGCAAGAAUGUUUUAGUCAAUUUUUAGUGAGUUAGAACAUUAGAGGAAAAUGGUCUUUUGGGGGAAGGAAUGACAGAAAAGUUUUUCUUUGGAAAUAUGUGACGGUGUAGGCGUUUUUAAGAUUUAUAAAAGAGAAUACCAUUAGAAGUUGGCGCCUGAGUGAUCGAUGACGACACUUCAACGUCAAAUUGGGCUGGUUUGAGAGUAAAGAAUGA